rnacentral:rRNA from 1 species
GACGUAGGGCGCGAGCGUUUGUCCGGAUUUAUUGGGCGUAAAGAGCUCGUAGGCGGCUUGUCGCGUCGACUGUGAAAACCCACGGCUUUAACUGUGGGCUUGCAGUCGAUACGGGCAGGCUAGAGUUCGGUAGGGGAGACUGGAAUUCCCGGUGUAGCGGUGAAAUGCGCAGAUAUCGGGAGGAACACCGGUGGCGAAGGCGGUUCUACUGGGCCUGUACUGACGCUGAGGAGCGAAAGCGUGGGGAGCGAACAGG